CCUACGGGUGGCAGCAGUGAGGAAUAUUGGUCAAUGGGCGGAAGCCUGAACCAGCCAAGUAGCGUGCAGGAUGACGGCCCUACGGGUUGUAAACUGCUUUUAUACGGGAAUAACGCGCCUUACGUGUAGGGCUUUGUAUGUACCGUAUGAAUCAGGACAGGCUAAUUCCGUGCCAGCAGCCGCGGUAAUACGGAAGGUACGGGCGUUGUCCGGUUUUAUUUGGGUUAAAGGGAGCGUAGGCCGGCUGUCAUGCGUGCUGUGAAAUGUUCGGGCUCAACCCUGGCCUUGCAGCGUAAACUGGCGUGCUUGAGUCCGCGGAGGGAAGGCGGAAUUCGUGGUGUAGCGGUGAAAUGCUUAGAUAUGACGAAGAACCCCGAUUGCGAAGGCAGCUUGCUGCAGCGGAACUGACGCUGAUGCUCGAAAGCGCGGGUAUCGAACAGGAUUAGAUACCCGGGUAGUC
rnacentral:rRNA from 1 species